UACAGAGGGUGCAAGCAUUGUUCGGAAUUACUGGGCGUAAAGCGCGUGUAGGCGGCGGCGUAAGUCGGGUGUGAAAUCCCUCAGCUCAACUGAGGAAGUGCACUCGAUACUGUGUCGCUUGAAUGUCGGAGGGGAUGGCGGAAUUCCCGGUGUAGAGGUGAAAUUCGUAGAUAUCGGGAGGAACACCUGUGGCGAAGGCGGCCAUCUGGACGACGAUUGACGCUGAGACGCGAAAGCGUGGGUAGCAAACAGG
rnacentral:rRNA from 1 species